CUCGGUUUGGAAGUCAGACCUUAUGAAAGCAGUUUUAGUAAAGCAGUCCUCAGUUCAAGUGUUAUCUGUAGAUACCCUUCUUCGUGAGCCUCCUCCUAAGUGCCCAAGUAAGUCACUCUUUAAGUACAGGCCACCAUCGCCGCUCUUAGUGGCUCAUCAAAUUAAUUAAGGAAGUAUCUAUGUCUAACAAAAUGACUGGUUUAGUAAAAUGGUUUAACUCUGAUAAAGGUUUUGGCUUUAUCACUCCGGACAACGGCAGCAAGGAUGUAUUCGUACAUUUCUCUGCUAUCCAGAGCGACAACUACAAAACUCUAGAUGAAGGUCAGAAGGUUUCCUUCACCAUUGAAAAUGGCGCUAAAGGCCCUGCGGCUGGAAACGUCGUCGGCCUGUAAGCCGCGCUAACUAUCAGUGAUGCUUACGGCACUAAUGAAGGCAAUAGCCUGA
rfam:Leminorella grimontii ATCC 33999 = DSM 5078 strain ATCC 33999 GLGR.assembly.07, whole genome shotgun sequence.